rnacentral:rRNA from 1 species
UACGGAGGAUGCGAGCGUUAUCCGGAUUUAUUGGGUUUAAAGGGUGCGUAGGCGGACUGUCAAGUCAGCGGUAAAAUUGAGAGGCUCAACCUCUUCCCGCCGUUGAAACUGGUGGUCUUGAGUGGAUGAGAAGUACGCGGAAUGCGUGGUGUAGCGGUGAAAUGCGUAGAUAUUAGGAGGAACACCAGUGGCGAAGGCGGCUUACUGGACGAUGACUGACGCUGAGGCUCGAAAGCGUGGGGAGCAAACAGG